UACGUAGGGGGCAAGCGUUGUCCGGAAUCAUUGGGCGUAAAGCGCGUGUAGGCGGCUUCGUAAGUCCGUUGUGAAAGUCCAGGGCUCAACCCUGGAAUGCCGAUGGAUACUGCGGAGCUAGAGUCCGGAAGAGGCGAGUGGAAUUCCUGGUGUAGCGGUGAAAUGCGUAGAUAUCAGGAAGAACAUCGGUGGCGAAGGCGCUCUGCUGGACCAUAACUGACACUCAGGGACGAAAGCUAGGGGAGCGAAUGGG
rnacentral:rRNA from 1 species